UAGUGAUUAAAUCGAGAGCGUCUUCAUUGACCUCUCACCCUUCACAUCCACAUACACCUGUGCACCGUUUGGCUCUUAUAAAAGACGCAAGUCUGCAAUGAGAGUCAUCAAUUUUAUACAUACCCCAGUCUUAUGAAUGUAACAGUUUUAAUAAACAUAAUAAAACUUUUAACAACGGAUCUCUUGGUUCUCGCAUCGAUAAAGAACGC
rnacentral:misc_RNA from 1 species